AUUUAAAUAGUGUAAAUUUAAAACACCUAACAUUUUCAUUGUUACAAUUCCUUUUUGGAUUUAAAUU
rnacentral:tRNA from 1 species